UUGUCAAUAGAAAUAGGCUAUUCUAGAGAACAGACUUCACUGUAGAUUUCAGCACACAGCCCCCUGAAGGAAGUGAUUAUUGAAGGAUAGCCAUGUAUCCCAGCAGAACAAUUUAACAUCUUGCAUGCUUAGUACUGUCCCUACUGCCUAUGUGGUUAUUCAGAAGAGCUGCAUGCUUAUUUUUAGAUCCUGCACGUGUCUUUUUCCUCUUGCAGUCUCAAGGGUCAAAGGUGCAAUGUGCCUUUCAAAACACGACAACCAAACUGCUGAAUAUUGUCAAGAACAAAUUCUUAAUAGAUGUGCAGACGUUCUACAAAAAGAAGAACACAGCUAAAGGGACUCCAUAUACAAAGGUGCAGAAAAAACAAGGGAAGAAAUAAAAUUAAGAGACAACUGCAGUUUCAUCCGUAAUUUCCAAGAUGUUGUCCUCAGAUGAAACUCCAUGGAAAAGAAGAUAAGAAAAAGGAAUGGAAAAAGGUGGAAGAAUAUGUGCUUUGGACCGUGAUCUUUAUUGAAACCCAUCUGUGAACUAAAAUAACCAAAAGCUAACAGAUAGAUGAUAACAUUUUGCAUUUGACUCAGUGAAAGCAUUUCAGUUACAAUAGUUAUUUUUGGUAAGAGCAAGAGUGUUUAUUUGUAUUAAAAAAUGCAUCUCUGAAAUGAUGCAUCCAAUACACAUACAGUGAACUUAUUGUUUAGCAGCGCAUUUAAAACAACUUUACUUAUCAAUGUCAGUGGUUAAGAUAACCAACCUGCUAAACCUCUUAAUAAAUACCUUUUUUCAAAUAUCACCAAUAAGAAUGUGGUUAAUAACCAUUGGUAAUACAAAUAAAUAAGCUACUCGUUUCAGAGGAAAAAAUAAAUAAAAACAAAAAGAGAGACAGUGGAAGGGAUAAAAUAAAGGGUAGGAAUCGCUAUUAAAACCUUACUAAAUACACUUUUAAGGGCGCUAUGUUCUUAACUCUUUUUGUCAAGUUUCUUGAUUACAAAGUGAACAUCACAAUUGGUGUUAAUGGUCAUCUUUUGUCAGGGGUCAGAGGGAAUGAACCUAUACCAAAAGGGGUGGUCCAUUCAGGGUAGGGAAGUUGCCAAUACUGUACAUUAGUGUGAGAAAGCUGACACUACAGCUGCCCAUGCUAACCAGACAAUGCGGAUAGCGAGAGGACCUGUUUCUCCACUGCUCUUAAUCAAGCAGUACGUUCUGUUGGUGUCUGUUUAGUCACAGAGACGAGGUGAUUUCUACACCAAUGAUUAACAUAAAUCAGAUGAGACUUUUUUUUUUGACUGACCUUGAACCCGUCUGAUACCUAUUGUUUAGAGAAUGGAAAAUGUUUUGUUUUUAUUCUAUCUCAAGUGUACGUUUCAGUACAAUGCAGUUUCAUUCCAACUCUUGUUUUGUAUAUAGAAAUGCUUCGAUCAGGGCAGUCUAACCAUCUGUAACCCAUGAGGGCCAUUCCUGUAAAUUUUUGUUCCACCCAAGCUCAACAAAAUGUCAGGGGUUGUUUAAUUGGAAAGCAAUGCAGAAUUAAGAUCAGAUUAGAAUGGCACCCGGGGAACUGCCCCGCUUC